CGAACGGAAAGGCCCUUCGGGGUACUCGAGUGGCGAACGGGUGAGUAACACGUGGGUGAUCUGCCCUGCACUUUGGGAUAAGCCUGGGAAACUGGGUCUAAUACCGAAUACACCCUUCUGGCUGCAUGGUCUGGGAGGGGAAAGCUUUUGCGGUGUGGGAUGGGCCCGCGGCCUAUCAGCUUGUUGGUGAGGUUACGGCUCACCAAGGCGACGACGGGUAGCCGGCCUGAGAGGGUGACCGGCCACACUGGGACUGAGAUACGGCCCACACUCCUACGGGAGGCAGCAGUGGGGAAUAUUGCACAAUGGGCGCAAGCCUGAUGCAGCGACGCCGCGUGAGGGAUGACGGCCUUCGGGUUGUAAACCUCUUUCGCCAGGGACGAAGCGCAAGUGACGGUACCUGGAGAAGAAGGACCGGCCAACUACGUGCCAGCAGCCGCGGUAAUACGUAGGGUCCGAGCGUUGUCCGGAAUUACUGGGCGUAAAGAGCUCGUAGGUGGUUUGUCGCGUUGUUCGUGAAAACUCACAGCUCAACUGUGGGCGUGCUGGCGAUACGGGCAGACUGGAGUACUGCAGGGGAGACUGGAAUUCCUGGUGUAGCGGUGGAAUGCGCAGAUAUCAGGAGGAACACCCGUGGCGAAACGGGUCUCUGGGCAGUAACUGACGCUCACGAGCGAAAACGUGGGGAGCGAACAGGAUUAUAUACCCUGGUAGUCCACGCCGUAUACGGUGGGUAGUACGUGUGGGUUUCCUUCCUUGCGAUCCGUGCCGUAGCUAACACAUUAAGUACCCCGCCUGGGGAGUACGGCCGCAAGGCUAAAACUGAAACAAAUUGACGGGGGCCCGCCCAAGCACCGCA
rnacentral:rRNA from 1 species